rnacentral:rRNA from 1 species
CACACCGCCCGUCACACCAUGGGAGUUUGUUGCACCAGAAGCAGGUAGCCUAACCGCAAGGGGGGCGCUUGCCACGGUGCGGCCGAUGACUGGGGUG